CCGAGUUUACAAACUCCCAAACCCCAUGUUGAAUCUAUACUCUACUGUCUGCUUCGGCGGAUCAGCCCCAGGCGGGCCCAGCCUAACCUUCGGCGCCGGCCCCGCCGCAGGACAACCCUAAACUCUUGUUUUCUAGUGGAACUCUGAGCUAUAAAAACAAAUAAGUCA
rnacentral:misc_RNA from 1 species